rnacentral:rRNA from 1 species
AACGAACGCUGGCGGCAUGCCUAACACAUGCAAGUCGAACGAGACCUUCGGGUCUAGUGGCGCACGGGUGCGUAACGCGUGGGAACCUGCCCUUAGGUUCGGAAUAACUCCCCGAAAGGGGUGCUAAUACCGGAUCAUGUCUUCGGACCAAAGAUUUAUCGCCUUUGGAUGGGCCCGCGUUGGAUUAGCUAGUUGGUAGGGUAAAAGCCUACCAAGGCGACGAUCCAUAGCUGGUCUGAGAGGAUGAUCAGCCACACUGGGACUGAGACACGGCCCAGACUCCUACGGGAGGCAGCAGUGGGGAAUAUUGGACAAUGGGCGAAAGCAUGAUCCAGCAAUGCCGCGUGAGUGAUGAAGGCCUUAGGGUUGUAAAGCUCUUUUACCCGGGAUGAUAAUGACAGUACCGGGAGAAUAAGCUCCGGCUAACUCCGUG